rnacentral:rRNA from 1 species
UACGAAGGGUGCUAGCGUUGUUCGGAAUUACUGGGCGUAAAGCGUGCGUAGGUUGUUAUUCAAGUUAGUGGUGAAAUCCCGGAGCUUAACUCCGGAAUUGCCAUUAAAACUGGGUAGCUAGAGAGUGUUAGAGGUGAGUGGAAUUUCUAGUGUAGGAGUGAAAUCCGUAGAUAUUAGAAGGAACAUCAAUGGCGAAGGCAGCUCACUGGGUCACAUCUGACACUGAGGCACGAAAGCGUGGGUAGCAAACAGG